GUGCAAACUCGAUCACUAGCUCUGCAUAAUGUGGCAGCAGCUAAGGGAACCAGGUUUGCUAGAGCAAUUGUGGUGAUAGCAACGUACCAACCUCAGAAAGCUGCUGAGGUGCCCAUUCUGUCCCAGAACAAUC
ensembl:snoRNA SNORA66 Small nucleolar RNA SNORA66